GUUAGAUAUAGAAUAGAUAGAGAUAGAUAUAAAGUAGAUAGAGCUAGAGAUAGAGAAGAUAGAUAGAUAUAUAGAGAAGAUAGCGAUAAAUAGAGACAGAUUUAGAGAAAGAGAAAUUAGAGAUACUAGUUAUAGAGAUAGAGAAGAUAGUAGAUAGACAUUGAGAGAAAAGAUAGAAAUAGAAAAAGUAGAAAUAGAAGAGAGUGUGAUAGAGACAGAGUGAGACAGAGAAUACAAGGAGGGAGAGUGAGAGAAAGAGAGAGACUGUGUGUGUGUUUGUGUGUGUGUUUUUGUUUGUGUGUGUCUGUUCGUUCCAUAUCCUGAUUCUUCACCCACUAAGGGAUUGCCUUGUUUUUUGCAUCUUCGAGAAGCUCUCAGAGGAAUUCCCUCGGCUUCAACAUGGGGAAGAAAAAUCGGAUAUUGCCCCACGCUCUGACUGGUUUUCACUGCCAGGAGCAGCAGCAUCCCUUACCCCAGGACUGAACUGAUCUCUUGAACUGGAAUCACGGAGCAAAGUGGCCCCAUCUCAGCCACUCAGGUGUGUCUCCCUCAGGCUGGAGGGCGGAAGGCAGGAGUCAUAAGCUCUGAUCUAAAGGGUUUCUGACUGCAAGAACUCCGUCUUGGAACAUGUCUAUGGGCUGUGGUUGGGAGUAGGAAAGGAAUUAGCUUUGGGGUAAAAUCUCAGGAUUGUUCUACUCUGAACUGUAUAAAGGCAAAGGAGUCAUUCUAAUCUCCUGGGAGUCAUUUCUCAUCUGUAAAGUAGAGAUUUCAGGAAAGAUUUCCUCCAAAUGUUCCUGGAACUUCAUAACUCAUUGCUCCCAACGCCCUGAGUACAAAGAUUUAUCUGUAGAUCCUGGAUUUCUACCUUCUCAGGUGGGGAAGAUGGGCCUGCAGGUGUCUCUGUUCUAGUGGUUGGAGAGUGGAAAUCUGUCAUCAAAAUCCUGGACUGAGGAACCUCAGAGGUUCCUUUCAUCACUAACUGAUGGAUGCUAUAAUCCUCCAUAAAGAGUGAGACCCACGAGCAGAGGAAAAUUAUGAGCACUGGACUUUCUAGAAUGACUCUUCCAAAUGGAUGACACUGCGCCCUGAGCAGGAGACCUGGCUCACAAGGACCCUGGUGCAGGGAACUGGAUGAGCAGC